UACGCAGGGGGCUAGCGUUGCUCGGAAUCACUGGGCGUAAAGCGCACGUAGGCGGGUUGCUAAGUCAGGGGUGAAAUCCUGGAGCUCAACUCCAGAACUGCCUUUGAUACUGGCGGCCUUGAGUCCGGGAGAGGUGAGUGGAACUGCGAGUGUAGAGGUGAAAUUCGUAGAUAUUCGCAAGAACACCAGUGGCGAAGGCGGCUCACUGGCCCGGUACUGACGCUGAGGUGCGAAAGCGUGGGGAGCAAACAGG
rnacentral:rRNA from 1 species